UAGCAACAUCAUUCCGGAACUGCGAUCCACCCCGUGCCAGAGAUGUGCUGUACCGCCUGUGAGCGUGAGACCGAUGGCUGGACGAUAGCGUAGCUAAUGCCUCCCUUCCCCUAUCAAGGGGCCUGUCUCUUACCUCUACGCAUUUGACCUGUGGCUGCUUUUUGUCUCGUUUCUCGCCAUCAAGCUGCGCCACACCAACAUCUACGAGAGGGACGUGGGCUGGGGUCGCAGGGGUCUGGACCCCGAACACAACCGGUCCCACCAGUUCUACACCGAGCGCAUCUGCGCCCACUUCAAACGGACGGCCCUCAGCUCCCUCAACAAAGCCAUGGUGGUGAGCCAGGCCCGGGAGCCCUUUGACGUGGUCAGGAGGAAAGAGGUGAAGCGCCGGCUGUGGGAAGAGGUCCAGUACCACAGAGACCACCGGGACGCCCUGGCCAGGAAGUGCCUGUUGAGGCAGGACUUCCUGUCUGAGGUACAGAGGGCCGCCGCAGAGACCCCGGGGCGAGGGCCCCUGCUACUGCUGGGGGCUCCUGGUUCGGGGAAGAGCUGCGUCCUGGCCAGGGCCUCACAGCUACUCUGCACUCGUCUACCUGGGUGAGCCCCCC
rnacentral:lncRNA from 1 species